AUGAUCCCUCAGAGCUGGAUAAGUUUGAUGUUGAGCCGGGUUAUGGUGAGAAACUUGCUGGCUACUUGUAGGUGCCACAUCAUUACUACAACAAGGAAGAGGCAUCUGACGCAUCUGUUGGAUCAGGCGGCACAAUCAAAGAGCAUCGUCCUCGCUUCGUUCCUAGCAGCCAACGUGGGCUACAAGAGGCAGAAGGGUGAGCAGAAGAGAACAUGGGAGAGUAUACAUAUAUGGGCGGAGGAUGACCAAAGGCUGAUGACCGUAGAACAAUGUGGGAGGAGGAAGAAAGCAAAUCUCGGCCGCAAAUUACACCAUUGCUGUGUAUGUCCUGCUGCUUCUGCAAUUCAAGCUAUUCAGAUAGUUCAAGCUAGCUUGUUGUGGAAUUUAGUUGGGGUACGACACUGCAAUGCAGAGAGUUCAGGUACCCCUUGUGCAAACAGAGUAGGCGCCCCUCAGAAACCAUCAGAGACCAUUAGAAGACGAAGUGAUAUCUGCUGGCAUGUCAGAGAACACAGCACAAAGGAUUGUCGUCCCGUUUCUCAUCUGGAGCUGUGCAGGGGAACUUCCUGUGAGCAAUUGCAGUCAGGUUGCUUGAGCAUGUCUCGAUUGGUGGCCAGUACCAGGAAACAUCUUUUGGUGACAAUGUGCACCCAUAUUCCUUUGAGCUGGGUAAUCAUGGGCAACUUGCUGGCUACUCGUAGGCACCACAGUAUCACUAGAACAAUGAAGCGGCAUCUAACGGAAGUGUUGGAUCGGACGGGACAAUCAAAGAACAUCUAUAAAAUUUCGUUCCUAGCAGGUUUCCGGUGCCUCCUGUUCUCAAACAAGGGAGCUUGUUUUCUCACCAUCAUAUGUAAUUCGACUCCAAACUGUCGCUCCCUGAUGAGCAAAUCUUUAUUCUUGCGUGUAGUGAAUGUUGUGGAGACAUAUGAUCCUUACUUCAAGCUGAGGAAGGAUUGUUGCGGACAACAGUCGUUCUCUCCUAUGCAUAAACACACAGCUACUCUGAGGAUGCUUGCAUACAGUAAAGUAGCAUAUGCCAUUGAUGAGAUUGUCCGAAUGGAGAGAGCACAUGCCUUGAGGCCAUGGUAA
rnacentral:rRNA from 1 species